AACGAACGCUGGCGGCAUGCCUAACACAUGCAAGUCGAACGGGAUCCUAGCUUGCUAGGUGAGAGUGGCGGACGGGUGAGUAACACGUGGGAAUCUGCCUUUUUGGUUCGGGAUAACCGCGGGAAACUGCGGCUAAUACCGAAUGCCCUCGAGAGAGGAAAGAUUUAUCGCCAGAAGAGGAGCCCGCGUCCGAUUAGGUAGUUGGUGGGGUAAAGGCCUACCAAGCCGACGAUCGGUAGCUGGUCUGAGAGGAUGAUCAGCCACACUGGGACUGAGAUACGGCCCAGACUCCUACGGGAGGCAGCAGUGGGGAAUAUUGGACAAUGGGGGCAACCCUGAUCCAGCAAUGCCGCGUGAGUGAUGAAGGCCUUAGGGUUGUAAAGCUCUUUUGCCAGGGAAGAUGAUGACUGUACCUGGAGAAUAAGCCCCGGCUAACUUCGUGCCAGCAGCCACGGUAAU
rnacentral:rRNA from 1 species